AUUGAACGCUGGCGGCAUGCCUUACACAUGCAAGUCGAACGGCAGCGCGGACUUCGGUCUGGCGGCGAGUGGCGAACGGGUGAGUAAUACAUCGGAACGUACCCUGUUGUGGGGGAUAACUAGUCGAAAGAUUAGCUAAUACCGCAUACGACCUGAGGGUGAAAGUGGGGGACCGCAAGGCCUCACGCCGCAGGAGCGGCCGAUGACUGAUUAGCUAGUUGGUGGGGUAAAGGCCCACCAAGGCGACGAUCAGUAGCUAGUCUGAGAGGACGAUCAGCCACACUGGGACUGAGACACGGCCCAGACUCCUACGGGAGGCAGCAGUGGGGAAUUUUGGACAAUGGGGGCAACCCUGAUCCAGCAAUGCCGCGUGUGUGAAGAAGGCCUUCGGGUUGUAAAGCACUUUUGUCCGGAAAGAAAUCGCGCUGGUUAAUACCUGGCGUGGAUGACGGUACCGGAAGAAUAAGCACCGGCUAACUACGUG
rnacentral:rRNA from 1 species